UGGGGAAUUUUGCACAAUGGGGGAAACCCUGAUGCAGCGACGCCGCGUGAUUUAGAAGGCCUUCGGGUUGUAAAAAUCUUUUCUAUGGGAAGAAAAUGACAGUACCAUAGGAAUAAGGACCGGCUAAUUACGUGCCAGCAGCCGCGGUAAUACGUAAGGUCCGAGCGUUGUCCGGAAUCAUUGGGCGUAAAGGGUACGUAGGCGGGUAAGCAAGUUAGAAGUGAAAUCCUAUAGCUCAACUAUAGUAAGCUUUUAAAACUGCUCAUCUUGAGGUAUGGAAGGGAUAGUGGAAUUCCUAGUGUAGCGGUGAAAUGCGCAGAUAUUAGGAGGAAUACCGGUGGCGAAGGCGACUUUCUGGCCAUAACCUGACGCUGAGGUACGAAAGCGUGGGUAGCAAACAGG
rnacentral:rRNA from 1 species